rnacentral:rRNA from 1 species
ACGAACGCUGGCGGCGUGCUUAACACAUGCAAGUCGAACGGAAAGGCCCUGCUUUUGUGGGGUGCUCGAGUGGCGAACGGGUGAGUAACACGUGAGUAACCUGCCCUUGACUUUGGGAUAACUUCAGGAAACUGGGGCUAAUACCGGAUAGGAGCUCCUGCUGCAUGGUGGGGGUUGGAAAGUUUCGGCGGUUGGGGAUGGACUCGCGGCUUAUCAGCUUGUUGGUGGGGUAGCGGCUUACCAAGGCUUUGACGGGUAGCCGGCCUGAGAGGGUGACCGGCCACAUUGGGACUGAGAUACGGCCCAGACUCCUACGGGAGGCAGCAGUGGGGAAUAUUGCACAAUGGGCGGAAGCCUGAUGCAGCAACGCCGCGUGCGGGAUGACGGCCUUCGGGUUGUAAACCGCUUUCGCCUGUGACGAAGCGUGAGUGACGGUAAUGGGUAAAGAAGCACCGGCUAACUACGUGCCAGCAGCCGCGGUGAUACGUAGGGUGCGAGCGUUGUCCGGAUUUAUUGGGCGUAAAGGGCUCGUAGGUGGUUGAUCGCGUCGGAAGUGUAAUCUUGGGGCUUAACCCUGAGCGUGCUUUCGAUACGGGUUGACUUGAGGAAGGUAGGGGAGAAUGGAAUUCCUGGUGGAGCGGUGGAAUGCGCAGAUAUCGGGAGGAACACCAGUGGCGAAGGCGGUUCUCUGGGCCUUUCCUGACGCUGAGGAGCGAAAGCGUGGGGAGCGAACAGGCUUAGAUACCCUGGUAGUCCACGCUGUAAACGGUGGGUACUAGGUGUGGGGUCCAUUCCACGGGUUCCGUGCCGUAGCUAACGCUUUAAGUACCCCGCCUGGGGAGUACGGCCGCAAGGCUAAAACUCAAAGGAAUUGACGGGGCCCCGCACAAGCGGCGGAGCAUGCGGAUUAAUUCGAUGCAACGCGUAGAACCUUACCUGGGUUUGACAUGGAUCGGGAGUGCUCAGAGAUGGGUGUGCCACUUUUGGGGUCGGUUCACAGGUGGUGCAUGCCUGUCGUCAGCUCGUGUCGUGAGAUGUUGGGUUAAGUCCCGCAACGAGCGCAACCCUUGUUCACUGUCGCCAGCACGUUAUGGUGGGGACUCAGUGGAGACCGCCGGGGUCAACUCGGAGGAAGGUGGGGAUGACGUCAAGUCCUCAUGCCCCUUAUGUCCAGGGCUUCACGCAUGCUACAAUGGCUGGUACAGAGAGUGGCGAGCCUGUGAGGGUGAGCGAAUCUCGGAAAGCCGGUCUCAGUUCGGAUUGGGGUCUGCAACUCGACCUCAUGAAGUCGGAGUCGCUAGUAAUCGCAGAUCAGCAACGCUGCGGUGAAUACGUUCCCGGGGCUUGUACACACCGCCCGUCAAGUCAUGAAAGUUGGUAACACCCGAAGCCGGUGGCCUAACCGUUGUGGGGGAGCCGUCGAAGGUGGGACUGGUGAUUAGGACUAAGUC